AAAGAAUUAGUUAAUAAAAAUAACAUAAAUUUGUCAAAUUUAAAUAAUUAUACAUAAUAUUCUUUU
rnacentral:tRNA from 1 species